GUGCUUGUGCUUGUGCUUGUGCUGUGAGGCAGAUGAAUGCAGGAAGAAAAGAAAUUAUUUGAAGCAGAGAAAAACUGACGCAUGGGAGAGACUUCAAAGUGACCUGGCUGGAGGGCUAAGUCACAGGAAGAGGCAGACCACCACAAGCCGGGAAUGACCAUUGACAGGAAGUACCUGCUGGGGGGAGAGUUGCUAAAGCAGAUCCAGCCAUAAGGAGGAGCUAGUGCAGCAGAAGAUAUUUUCAAAUGACAAAAAUCCCCAAAGGACAGAGAGAGAGAGAGAGCGUGCGAAGG